rnacentral:lncRNA from 1 species
GCAAAUGACAAUGGGACAUGUGGGGUGUCAAGGUUCAGGGCAAGUAAGGAGGCCUCAAAGAAAUCUUCCUCAAAAAUUGAUGAAGAGGGCAUACAGGUGGCAGUCUGCAGACAUGGGAUAUUAUUGCGAGGACUGAACCACUACCGUGGCGAAAUAUUUGCCUACCCCAUGUUUUUGCAGAAAGAAUUGGGAGAGAGGGCAAAUGUCACUUUCUUCUGCAUGGAUGUUGUCUGCAGGUAAUUUCUCUUUGUCAACCUACUGUAUAUUAAAUGAUUAAAGGAUCGUGGUUUUAGAUUGAUGUCCCAGCAAAAUGUGUUGCAACGUGCGUAAUACCCACUAAUGUUGCUCUUGUUUUGUAGGUACUGGCCCUACCUAAGCAAAGUGGUUGAUGAGUUUCCAGAUCUUCAGCCUUUGAUGCAUAUGAGACCAUUUCUCAGUGUAAUGCACGCCAAAGCACAUACAGCAAAAUGCGAGGUACCUGAAAUAAUAAUAAUGCUUUACAUUGCACUUUUAACAUUAAGUAAAAGUGCAAUGAAAUGAAUGGUAAAACACUAUGUUGCAGGUGAGAUGGGGUGGCAGAAAUCAGGAUGGAGCAGGGAACACAGUUGGAGAGGAAGUUGAACAAGUAUGUUAUUACUGUCAUUAUUGAAACGGUGGACAUAGGACUCUUAGGACUCAUUCGCAUCAUGCGAAUGAUGAUGCACAUCUGCAGGGAAUGGGGAGAACAGUUACUCUAUUGCCGCUUCAGAAAAUAAAACAUGCUGUAUGACUGGCCUAUGUAUUCACAAAAUGCUUUGAAUCAAAGACAGGAUCUAUUAUGUUUUUUUUAAUGUAUUUUUUGACAGUUUAUAUAGGGAUAAUUUAAUUAAUGUAUUGUCUUUACAUCUAGGUGAACAGCUUUCUCUCCAGGGCAGCUCUUAUCACAAAAUACAUGACAAAAGCAGGGAGAGAAAAUAUGCUGACGCAACAGGCCAUGGGUUGGAACAGAAAAAAGACAGAGAACCUCCACAAAGCUUUGGCCCAGAGAUACGUCACAAUCUCAGAGAGGGCAAAACUGGAAGCUGCCAGCCUCAGUGACUUUCAGCAAAAGCAAAACCUCACUCAGCAAACAAUAGAGCAGUGGGUGUUUGAUGUCCAGCAAUGGGCAGUCACAGAUCGAGUCUACACACAAGGGUGUACAGAGGACCUCAGGGCAGAAAUAGAGACCAUCACAGUAACCCUCCUACGCAAGAAGCAGGACCUCUAUCGUCAGCAUGGCUAUUGUUUCACUUUGCAGAUAGCAACCAGACAAGACACAGCAAGCGAAGAAAACUUAGAGAUUUAAAAAAAAAACUAAGAGAAAAGGUCUUGCAGUACAACGCAUCUGAAGAAGAUGAAAUUGAUGAGGACUUGGCCUGCAAUUUGACGGAGGGCUACAUCCUGCCAUGGGAGAGAAGUGAAGAUGGUAUGAUGUUUUCCCUUCUGACUAAAACAUAAACAUAAUUCCCCCUCUCAAAUGCUUUAUUGGCAUGACUGUUUGAGUACAGUAGUCUCUGUCUCUCUCUCACACUCUCUGUCUGUCUGUCUCUAUCGCUCUGUCCCUCUCUCUUUCUCUGUGGGUUUGUAAUGUUAUCAAAGUAUUCCUUUUUCAUAUUUCCAUCACUUUCCUCUACCUACAGGCCACUCAUUCAGAUUGAAAAGGUCACUCUUUGACCGAAUUAUGCUACUUAAACGGUAUGAGGAGGAGCAGAGCAUCCUCAUCAAAGAAAUGACACAGCACAUCAUGUCAUUAAGGAAGAAGAUAAAGGGAGUGGAGAAACUCAAAGACAACAUUGGGAUGUUCGGUAUGUUGAAUUCUGAACAUUCAUUUUCCUCAAAAUGUAAUUCAAAGUAAAUGUUAUGCCAUAGUAAAUGCCAUUUUCAAUAUUUUCUAUUUCAAUACAGAUUUUGGUGACAUGUCAGAGGACGCUGCAAAAGGUUUCGAAAGUGUCCUCAUGCGGAGGUCCACCGAACUGGAGAAUUCAUGCCAACAAGCUGUGAGCUCAUACAGUGCUAUAGUUGAUGAGUUAGAGAUUGAAGACACCGAACAAAGGGUGGAUUCUGAGGGUGAAAAUGGCUUCAGUAGUCCGGAGUCAGAGGAAGAGGAUUAGGAAGGAAAAUAUCAGGGGGGUUUAUUUUUGCUUUCUGUUAACUUUGUUCUACUUAUAUUUUCCCUCUGUAUUGUAUCCCUAUGUAUUGUUCCCUUAAAUUAGAAAAUAAUAAAUUUUAGCAUAUUCACAGUACCCUGAACUAAGAGCCCAACUUGUUAAUUAAUCAUAAUCAAAGUAGGGUAUAUUUGUUGCUAUAUUUGUUGGCACUCUACGGCUGACUGAAUGUUCAUGCAUUGGUAAUCUAUAAUAAGUAACAAUAAAUACAAUGCCCUUCUUUGAGCUAAUGACUCCAUACUCACUUUUCACUUUGACAAGACUGAUUAAGUGCUGUAAACUAUACUGUUUUCAGUCUGUGACAAGGUAGAUAAGGC